rnacentral:rRNA from 1 species
CCUACGGGUGGCUGCAGUGGGGAAUAUUGGACAAUGGGCGAAAGCCUGAUCCAGCCAUGCCGCGUGUGUGAAGAAGGCCUUCGGGUUGUAAAGCACUUUCAGUGGGGAAGAAAGCCUUGGGGCUAAUACCCUCGAGGAAGGACAUCACCCACAGAAGAAGCACCGGCUAACUCCGUGCCAGCAGCCGCGGUAAUACGGAGGGUGCGAGCGUUAAUCGGAAUUACUGGGCGUAACGCGCGCGUAGGCGGUCUGAUAAGCCGGUUGUGAAAGCCCCGGGCUCAACCUGGGAACGGCAUCCGGAACUGUCAGGCUAGAGUGCAGGAGAGGAAGGUAGAAUCCCCGGUGUAGCGGUGAAAUGCGUAGAGAUCGGGAGGAAUACCAGUGGCGAAGGCGGCCUUCUGGACUGACACUGACGCUGAGGUGCGAAAGCGUGGGUAGCAAACAGGAUUAGAUACCCUGAGUAGUC